UACAGAGGUCUCAAGCGUUUGUUCGGAUUCAUUGGGCGUAAAGGGUGCGUAGGCGGCGCGGUAAGUCGGGUGUGAAAUCUCGGAGCUUAACUCCGAAACUGCAUUCGAUACUGCCGUGCUUGAGGACUGGAGAGGAGACUGGAAUUUACGGUGUAGCGGUGAAAUGCGUAGAUAUCGUAAGGAAGACCAGUGGCGAAGGCGGGUCUCUGGACAGUUCCUGACGCUGAGGCACGAAAGCGUGGGGGAGCAAACAGG
rnacentral:rRNA from 1 species